UACGUAGGCAGCGAGCGUUGUUCGGAGUUACUGGGCGUAAAGCGCACGUAGGCGGCUUGUUAAGUCAGGGGUGAAAUCCUGGAGCUCAACUCCAGAACUGCCUUUGAUACUGGCGAGCUUGAGUUCGGGAGAGGUGAGUGGAACUGCGAGUGUAGAGGUGAAAUUCGUAGAUAUUCGCAAGAACACCAGUGGCGAAGGCGGCUCACUGGCCCGAUACUGACGCUGAGGUGCGAAAGCGUGGGGAGCAACAAGGAGUAGAAU
rnacentral:rRNA from 1 species